CCGCAUAACGUCGCAAGACCAAAGAGGGGGACCUUCGGGCCUCUUGCCAUCGGAUGUGCCCAGAUGGGAUUAGCUAGUAGGUGGGGUAACGGCUCACCUAGGCGACGAUCCCUAGCUGGUCUGAGAGGAUGACCAGCCACACUGGAACUGAGACACGGUCCAGACUCCUACGGGAGGCAGCAGUGGGGAAUAUUGCACAAUGGGCGCAAGCCGGAUGCAGCCAUGCCGCGUGUAUGAAGAAGGCCUUCGGGUUGUAAAGUACUUUCAGCGGGGAGGAAGGCGAUAAGGUUAAUAACCUUG
rnacentral:rRNA from 1 species